AGAGUUUGAUCAUGGCUCAGGACGAACGCUGGCGGCGUGCCUAACACAUGCAAGUCGAGCGAGAAGCUGCCGAAGGAGUUUUCGGAUGAAUUUGGCAGUGGAAAGCGGCGGACGGGUGAGUAACGCGUGGGCAACCUGCCCUGUACAGCGGGAUAACAACGGGAAACCGGUGCUAAUACCGCAUGAGACAUAGACGUGGCAUCACGGAGAUGUUAAAGGGAUUACCGGUACAGGAUGGGCCCGCGUCCAAUUAGCUGGUUGGUGGGGUAAAGGCCUACCAAGGCGACGAUUGGUAGCCGAGCUGAGAGGUUGAUCGGCCACAUUGGGACUGAGACACGGCCCAGACUCCUACGGGAGGCAGCAGUGGGGAAUAUUGCGCAAUGGGGGGAACCCUGACGCAGCGACGCCGCGUGAAGGAAGAAGGUUUUCGGAUCGUAAACUUCUUUGACUGGGGAAGAAGGAGUGACGGUACCCAGGGAACAAGCCACGGCUAACUACGUGCCAGCAGCCGCGGUAAUACGUAGGUGGCAAGCGUUGUCCGGAAUUACUGGGUGUAAAGGGCGUGUAGGCGGGGGUGCAAGUCAGGUGUGAAAGCCCAAGGCUUAACUUUGGGACUGCAUCUGAAACUGUAUCUCUUGAGUACUGGAGAGGGAAGCGGAAUUCCUGGUGUAGCGGUGAAAUGCGUAGAGAUCAGGAGGAACACCAGUGGCGAAGGCGGCUUCCUGGACAGAGACUGACGCUGAGGCGCGAAAGCGUGGGGAGCGAACAGGAUUAGAUACCCUGGUAGUCCACGCCGUAAACGAUGGAUACUAGGUGUAGGAGGUAUCGACCCCUUCUGUGCCGGAGUUAACACAAUAAGUAUCCCACCUGGGGAGUACGGCCGCAAGGCUGAAACUCAAAGGAAUUGACGGGGGCCCGCACAAGCAGUGGAGUAUGUGGUUUAAUUCGAAGCAACGCGAAGAACCUUACCAGGGCUUGACAUCCCCUGACGUUACUGGAGACAGUAAUUUCCUACGGGACAGGGAGACAGGUGGUGCAUGGUUGUCGUCAGCUCGUGUCGUGAGAUGUUGGGUUAAGUCCCGCAACGAGCGCAACCCUUGUUGCUAGUUGCCAGCGAGUAAAGUUGGGCACUCUAGCGAGACUGCCGGUGACAAAUCGGAGGAAGGUGGGGAUGACGUCAAAUCAUCAUGCCCCUUAUGUCCUGGGCUACACACGUACUACAAUGGCCGGAACAGCGGGGAGCGAAGCCGCAAGGUGGAGCGAAUCCCGAAAACCGGUCCCAGUUCGGAUUGUGGGCUGCAACCCGCCCACAUGAAGUUGGAAUUGCUAGUAAUGGCAGGUCAGCAUACUGCCGUGAAUACGUUCCCGGGCCUUGUACACACCGCCCGUCACACCAUGGGAGUUGGCCACGCCCGAAGUCGUUACUCUAACCUUAGGGAGGAGGGCGCCGAAGGCAGGGCUGAUGACUGGGGUGAAGUCGUAACAAGGUAACCGUA
rnacentral:rRNA from 1 species